rnacentral:rRNA from 1 species
GGAAGUAUGUAAGAGCGCAGGGGGGAUGCCUUGGCUCUCAGAGGCGAUGAAGGACGUGAUAAGCUGCGAUAAGCUACGGGUAUUGGCACAUACGAUUUGAUCCGUAGAUUUCCGAAUGGGGUAACCUAUCUAAUUGAAGAUUAGAUAAUUCAAACUUGUUUGAAUAGCAAACCUGGUGAACUGAAACAUCUAAGUAACCAGAGGAAGAGAAAACAAUAGUGAUUUCCUUAGUAGUGGCGAGCGAAAAGGAAAUAGCCUAAACCUAUUAUGUUUCGGCAUAAUAGGGGUUGUAGGACCACAACAUCCGAUAUAAAAUGAACGAGAAUUUUUUGGAAAAUUAAGCCAUAGAUGGUGAAAGCCCAGUAUCGGUAAAUUUUAUUGAAGUAGUGGUAUCCUGAGUAGGACGGAACAGGUGAAAUUCCGUUUGAAUCUGCCGGCACCAUCCGGUAAGGCUAAAUACGACUGAGAGACCGAUAGUGAACUAGUACCGUGAGGGAAAGGUGAAAAGUACCCUGAAUAAGGGGGUGAAAUAGUACCUGAAACCUUGCGCUUACAAGCGGUCGGAGGUUCUUCGUGAACUGACGGCGUGCCUUUUGCAUAAUGAGCCUACGAGUUACUCUUCACUGGCAAGGUUAAAAAUUUAAGAUUUGGAGCCGGAGCGAAAGCGAGUCUUAACAGGGCGUUCAGUCAGUGGAGGUAGACGCGAAACCUAGUGAUCUACCCAUGGUCAGGGUGAAUUUGUGGUAAAACACAAUGGAGGCCCGAACCAGUAUACGUUGAAAAGUGUUUGGAUGAACUGUGGGUAGGGGUGAAAGGCCAAUCAAACUAGGAGAUAGCUCGUACUCCCCGAAAUGCUUUUAGGAGCAGCGUAAAUUUAUAAUCUAACAGAGGUAGAGCUACCGAUUGGACUAGGGGGAGUCAAAUCCUACCAAAUCCAGACGAACUCCGAAUGCUGUUAGAUGUUUUUUUGCAGUGAGGGCAUGGGUGCUAAGGUCCAUGUCCAAGAGGGAAACAACCCGGAUCCACAGCUAAGGUCCCUAAAUCUAUACUAAGUUGAUCUAAGGUAGUUCAGUUACUCAGACAGCCAGGAUGUUGGCUUGGAAGCAGCCAUUCAUUUAAAGAGUGCGUAACAGCUCACUAGUCGAGCGACAGAGCAUCAAUGAUAAUCGGGCAUAAAGUAUAGUACCGAAGCUUGGAACUCUACGGAGUGGUAGGGGAGCAUUCUAUUUGCAUUGAAGGAAAAUUGUAAGAUUUUCUGGAGCGUAUAGAAUAGAAAAUGUAGGCAUAAGUAACGAUAAUGCAGGUGAGAAACCUGCACACCGAAAGACUAAGGUUUCCUGAACAACGCUAAUCGGUUCAGGGUUAGUCGGGUCCUAAGGCGAACCCGAAUGGGGUAGUCGAUGGAUAAUCGGUUAAUAUUCCGAUACUACCAUUAUUAGUGAUGGAGUGACGAAGUAGUGAAAGAUCCGCGUACUGACGGAAUAGUACGUUGAAGCGAGUAGGUAUAGGUCUUGUUGGUAAAUCCGCAAGACUUGCUGAACGUGAUAGUACCACAAUCCUUCGGGAGAGUGGAUAGUGAUCCUAAUCAGACUUCCAAGAAAACCUUCUAAACUUAUGAUAAUGGUACCCGUACCAUAAACCGACACAGGUAGUCGAGGAGAGAAUCCUAAGGUGCUCGAGUGAUUCAUGGCUAAGGAACUAGGCAAAAUCGUCCUGUAACUUCGGGAGAAAGGACGCCUCCCUCUUUUAGAGGAGGCCGCAGUGAAAUGGCCCAGGCGACUGUUUAUCAAAAACACAUGGCAUUGCAAAUUCGUAAGAAAAAGUAUAAUGCCUGACACCUGCCCGGUGCUGGAAGGUUAAGGAGAGAUGUUAGAGGUUUACCUCAAAGCAUUGAACUGAAGCCCCAGUAAACGGCGGCCGUAACUAUAACGGUCCUAAGGUAGCGAAAUUCCUUGUCGGGUAAGUUCCGACCUGCACGAAUGGUGUAACGAUCUGGGCACUGUCUCAGCCAUGAGCUCGGUGAAAUUGUAGUAGCGGUGAAGAUGCCGCUUAAUCGCAACGGGACGGAAAGACCCCGUGAACCUUUACUACAGCUUUGUAUUGGUAUUGGGUAAAUAAUGUGUAGAAUAGGUGGGAGACUUUGAUCCUGCGUCGCUAGGCGUAGGUUAGUCAUUAGUGAAAUACCACCCUUUAUUUAUCUGAUACCUAACCCAAUUAUUUGGGGACAUUGCAUGGUGGGUAGUUUGACUGGGGUGGUCGCCUCCAAAAGAGUAACGGAGGCUUUCAAAGGUUCCCUCAGUACGUUUGGUAAUCGUACGUAGAGUGCAAUAGCAUAAGGGAGCUUGACUGUGAGGCCUACAAGCCGAUCAGGUAGGAAACUAGGAUAUAGUGAUCCGGCGGUUCCGCAUGGAAGGGCCGUCGCUCAAAGGAUAAAAGGUACUCCGGGGAUAACAGGCUGAUCUCCC